rnacentral:lncRNA from 1 species
GGCUCGUCUCCGGGCUGGAGCGGUUCCUUCGCGGGCGCCCUGGUCCCGCCUCCGGGCUGGUGGCGCUCGCGGGGCAUCGUGCCGCGGGCGACGCCGUCCGCUCCGGACGCUCGGCCCGCGAGCUGGCCCCACGCCGUCCCCCCGGCCCCGGACGAGGCCCCCGCGCCCUGCGGGGCUCCGGAAGUGGCUGCGGGACGGCCGGGCGCGGCCGCUGAGGGAGGGCGCGGGAGGCCCGCCGCGUGCGUCCGGCCCCGGAGCCGGGGGCACCCGCUGGGCGGUGGGCGUGGCCAGCUUCGGGUCGGGCUCGGAGGGAAGGCGGGUCCCCGGAGCGGGUCGCGGACCCGCAGGGAGCAGGGGUCCUGUGACGUCAUCUCAGGAAUGCGGUCGGGGCUGCCGGAGGACCGGGCGGGUCGGGACGCGGGCGGCCGCAGUUAGAAGCGCCCGCGAGGGGCAGGAGGAGCACCUGCCGGCUGGGCCCGCGCUUGCCGCCGCCGCUCGGCUGGGAGCACCGCAGGCCCUGGAUCCCCGCGCCCUCAGCCCGGGGCUCCAGGGAUACGUCUCUCCUCCGGAGCCGCUCCCUGUCCCCGCCAGGGCCCGGCCACCGGGAUGCACACGCCGGUGGAGGAAUCCCUCUUGGGGAUCAUCGCCUGCUACCAUCAGUACGCCGCUCGGGAGGGGGACGUGGAGACCCUGUCCUUGGAGGAGCUGAAGGCUCUGCUUAUGGACAAUGUACCCCACUUCAUGGAGAGCCUGGUGGGUGGGGUCUGGGGUCAGGUGGGCAUGAAGUGUAGGGGGGUGGUGGGGCUGGAAGCAGUGGUGAGGGCAGAGGUAUGGGGAGCUGUCUCCCGGGAGAAUUCCUCCUCAGGGGAGGAGCGGUGAGGGAGUUGGGAGGGCAGGGUCCCCGGCAGAGGGAGGUGGACGUGGCCCAGCUUUAUUUCUCCUCCUCCCUCUGCGAGAUCCCUGCCGGCCCCAUGCAGCCGGGCGCGGUCGGUCGGGUCGGUCCGUGAGACUUAGUGCCGACUCCAAGCUGCUGGUCCCUCUGCUCAUCCAGUUUCCGGAGAGAAUAGGUCCGAAGUGUCCCGUCUGGCCUCUGCCCCAUGCGGUCAGCCAUCCUGCCCCAAACCUGCCCUUUUAGCCCCAGGCCCCCUCUCCUGCGACUAGUACAAACCUCCCCGUCACCGUGCCUGGGUGAGGACAGUUUGGGCAGAAGCCAGGUAGGGGAGGAAAGGUAGUGUUUCCUUCUAGCUGCUGUCCGAAGGGCCAGCAGAGGCUCCCGGAUCAGCCCAGGAGCUCGGAAACCUUGUCAGGCGGCACAUCUCCCCAAUCAGGCCCGGUAUUAUCAGGCGCCUGGGGGGCUGCAAGGCUGGCAGGGAUGUCUGGUUUGCUGCCCUCUGCCCUCGGUGUCCUGCCUCAGAGGUCUCUGGACCGUCCUCUCCAGAGGACUUCAGGUCUGGGCCCUGACUGGAGGCCACCACCUUCCAGAAGGAGCACUGCCUCCUUGGCGUGUUCCCUUACCUACCUCUGGGAAACAUCAGAGGAGGGUCUUGCCCUGGGUGUAUUGGAGUGUCGUUGUGAGGGUCACAGAGGGGAUUAGGGAAACUUUCUUUCCAGAGCCACCUACCUAUACCGUGGGGCUGGGCAAGGAUGGCCAGACCGUCUCACCUGGAGCUCACAGCCCUGCCCAGGGAACAGGGCCCUCAGGGACAGAC